CUUAAAAUAGUUUAAAGAAAAAUACAAGUUUUGGGGAUUUGAGAUUGCCUUUUGGUGUUUUUUGA
rnacentral:tRNA from 1 species